AUUACAAGCCACCAUUUAUAUUGUCACAAUUUCUAUCUUUUCCUUGAAUAAUAAGCAGUUCGCAGGUCAUUAUAUGUGAACUGAAGUUGUGAACAGUUCUUGUAACGUAUCGUUGAACUGAGCAUUGUUUUGUGAAGUGCGGACACGAUGGCAAAUUUCAAUAUCCACGACGAGAUGCAGGAAGAUGUCAAAUUUGUUGAGAAAAUCGACAGGGUUGGGAUUUGUGCAAUGAACAAGAAGGUAAGCAAUAUGUCUAACCCUAAAGUUGCUACCGUUAGUUCAAUGCUUGAAUGCUUCCUCUAUCUUGAGCGUUAGAAACCGUUUAUUAUAGCUCUGCUCAGAAAACAAUAGAGGAAUAUAUAGAG